CCCUGAUACAAGUUUAAAGUAUUGCUAUGGUACAAUUAUAGGCCUACAAAGCAUCUUAAAGCACUAAUUUUUAAAGUUUUUAAGGCAUGUGGAAGAUAAGAAGACAAUAUAUACAUGGUACACAGUAUGGUCUCUGUUUACUGCAGAGUACAACACAGUUUGUAACAGGAUAUAGUUUUAUGAAACACCAGUGCAGGUAAAAUCUGGGUGUAAUGAGGAAUGACACACUAUAAACAACAGUAUAUCACCUUUUCUAGUUUUAUCAACACUAUUAUUAUUAUUAUUAUAUCAUCUUGUAAUGAUUUAGAUUUUAAGAAAUGUUAGAAGAAAAAGAAAAGGUGGGUGGUCUCUGAAACUUUGGUGGAAGGGAUCCACCAUCCAUUUAUCUUCUUAAGCACUUCUUUAGUUUAGGUUCACAAAGCGUUAGAGCCCCAGUCCAUAACCAGGGGAUGAAACUAAAACACAAAAUCUGCUAUAGUAGGUGUUCAGUUGGGUUUUAAAGGCAAAGUCAUGUAUUUCACAAAAUGUUCACUCUUUUUAUCAUUCUAUGAACUCUUAUUAGCAAAGAAAAUUUUCAUCAGAGGAGAGAGGUGAUAACACAGAGCCACAGGAUUGUGACAAAUGGAGUGGAACCACAACACCGACCACAUUGCUUUACUGCAGAGGCCGAGGGUUCAGUUCUUUCCUUUAAUCUGUCACGUGUUCAAACAUCAUUAUAGCAUGAAAAUUUUGAAAAUAUUCUGCAUGUUUAAACAGGUGUAAGAGCCAUGCCAGCAGCUCCGUCAGUGCUAGUUUUAGCAAGCUAUUGUGGUACGUUGCAAAGUAGUCAUUAUAAAUGGGAAGUUUAUGUCUGAAAAUUCAGUUCAUCUAAUGAAUUUGUCUUUUUAUUCAUUUUUUAAUCAUGUCUUUUUGUAAUGUUCUUCUGGGUUAAAACACAGGGUGUUACUUAUGCAAAUGUGAGUGAAUGUACAACGACUAACGUGGAUUUUCACACAUACAUCUGAAAAACCUGAAUGAUCUUUGAACAUAUCUCUACGUAAAUACAAUACAAACGAGCACUGAUCUAUUUCUGUAGCCGAUGAGCUGAUAUGUUUACUUCCUCAUGGAACCAGCCACUGAGAAAUG
ensembl:lncRNA